rnacentral:rRNA from 1 species
AUGCAAGUCGAACGCGACGGCUCCUUCGGGAGCUAGUAGAGUGGCAACGGGUGAGUAACGCGUGGGUAACGUACCCUGAUCCUGGGAAUACCCUCGGAAACGAGGGCUAAUACCGAAUGUGGCGAACGACCGGUUGGUCGCUCGCUAAAGGUGGCCUCUUCUAUGCUGCCGGGUUGGGAUCGGCCCGCGUCCCAUUAGCUAGUUGGUGAGGUAACGGCUCACCAAGGCCACGAUGGGUAGCCGGCCUGAGAGGGUGUACGGNCACACUGGCACUGAGACAAGGGCCAGUCCCCUAUGGGAGGCGCAGGCGGGAAUAGUUCACAAUGGGCGAAAGCCUGAUGACGCGACGCCGCGUGAGCGAAGAAGACCUUCGGGUUGUAAAGCUCUGUCAGGAGGGAAGAAGGCUCUACGGGUUAAUAGCCCGUGGAAUUGACGGUACCUCCAGAGGAAGCCCCGGCUAAAUACGUGCCAGCAGCCGCGGUAAUACGUAUGGGGCAAGCGUUGUCCGGAUUUACUGGGCGUAAAGGGCGCGUAGGCGGUUUGUUAAGUCGAAGGUGAAAUCCUCGGGCUCAACUCGAGAAUUGCCUUCGAUACUGGCAAACUAGAGUGGCGGAGAGGAAAGCGGAACUCUUGGUGUAACGGUGGAAUGUGUAGAUAUCAAGAGGAACACCGGUGGCGAAGGCGGCUUUCUGGACGCACACUGACGCUCAGGCGCGAAAGCGUGGGUAGCAAACAGGAUUAGAUACCCUGGUAGUCCACGCCAUAAACGAUGGGUACUAGGUGUCGGGGGUAUCGACCCCUCCGGUGCCGCAGUUAACGCACUAAGUACCCCGCCUGGGGAUUAUGGUCGCAAGGCUGAAACUCAAAGGAAUUGACGGGGCCCCGCACAAAGCGGUGGAGCAUGUGGUUUAAUUCGACGCAACGCGAAGAAACCUUACCUGGGCAUGACAUGCUUGGGAC